AAUACGGAGGGGGCGAGCGUUAUUCGGAAUUAUUGGGCGUAAAGGGCGCGUAGGCGGCUUGAUAAGUCAAAGGUGAAAUCCCUCGGCUCAACUGAGGAACUGCCUUUGAAACUGUCAGGCUUGAGGCCGGGAGGGGGUAGCGGAAUUCCCAGUGUAGCGGUGAAAUGCGUAGAUAUUGGGAGGAACACCGGUGGCGAAGGCGGCUACCUGGACCGGUUCUGACGCUGAGGCGCGAAAGCGUGGGUAGCAAACAG
rnacentral:rRNA from 1 species